rnacentral:rRNA from 1 species
CCUACGGGGGGCAGCAGUGGGGAAUAUUGGACAAUGGGGGGAACCCUGAUCCAGCCAUGCCGCGUGUGUGAAGAAGGCCCUCGGGUUGUAAAGCACUUUCAGUGAGGAAGAACGCCUGGUGGUUAAUACCCAUCAGGAAAGACAUCACUCACAGAAGAAGCACCGGCUAACUCCGUGCCAGCAGCCGCGGUAAUACGGAGGGUGCGAGCGUUAAUCGGAAUUACUGGGCGUAAAGCGCGCGUAGGUGGCUUGAUAAGCCGGUUGUGAAAGCCCCGGGCUCAACCUGGGAACGGCAUCCGGAACUGUCAAGCUAGAGUGCAGGAGAGGAAGGUAGAAUUCCCAGUGUAGCGGUGAAAUGCGUAGAGAUCGGGAGGAAUACCAGUGGCGAAGGCGGCCUUCUGGACUGACACUGACACUGAGGUGCGAAAGCGUGGGUAGCAAACAGGAUUAGAUACCCUUGUAGUC